UACGAAGGGGGCUAGCGUUGCUCGGAAUUACUGGGCGUAAAGGGCGCGUAGGCGGCACUGUUAGUCAGGCGUGAAAGUCCUGGGCUCAACCUGGGAACUGCGCUUGAUACGGCAGAGCUAGAGGAUGGAAGAGGGUCGCGGAAUUCCCAGUGUAGAGGUGAAAUUCGUAGAUAUUGGGAAGAACACCGGUGGCGAAGGCGGCGACCUGGUCCAUUACUGACGCUGAGGCGCGACAGCGUGGGGAGCAAACAGGAUUAGAGUACC
rnacentral:rRNA from 1 species